CACAUCUAUACCAGGUUUUAACUACUACAAUAAGUGGAACUUCCCAAUAUUUACAGAUUGCAACAAAUAUAUGACAACUAGUAACACCAUUUAACUACUACAAUAACCAACACCAUUUGAGGGAUUGCAACAAACGAAUUUACAGAUUGAUGGAACAAACCUUGUCAUUUAUUUUCGCCAAAACUGCCUUAAAGAUUGGCUGCAGACUGUAAGAUCCCAAAAUGACAACUAGUAACUUAACCAAUAUAUGUGAAGAUGACAAUUAUAAGUUUCAGAUAGAUACCCGAUGAGUUCAUCUGGAGAAGAAAGACCAAGCUUCCCUAAAAUACUAGACAUAAGCAUUGUAUGUGGACCACGACCAUCAUGGGCCCUUAUUACAGCGGUUAAUGCCUGUGCAGCUAUUCCGUAUCCACUGCAAGUAAAAAGAACAUUACCUUCAGUAAAAACUUCUGGGAAAGGAAAAAGACGGAUAUCGUAAAAAAGAAGCCCACAUCCUGAAUGCAGAAACUACCAGAAUACUACUCAAAAAGUGAUAUUAAGUUUAUUUGACACAUUGAUUGAUUUAUACAUGGCCACGAAAUCUUACAAUUAAAGCACAACAUUAUCAGGCAGGGAGCAACUGUAGAAUAUAGAUGGAUCACAAUCAUACUGCUGGGGAGUUCAAAUCGUCAAUUUAUAAAGUUCAAUGCAAAAUGAUGAGCAGGAAAGGGAAAAUUAACAAUGAAAAUAGAAAGAAUUUUACGGGAUUUCAACAGUAAGAUUAAUUCAAAACAUAUAAUCAAGAAGUGAGUAAAAGUGGAAGUCUUUUUCCCAGUGAUUGUUUCUUUUUACAACCCUUGUAUCAUUUCAUGUACUUGAUGGUUAAGGUGACCUAGCUACAAAAGAUGUAGGAAACCUCCAAUGACAACAAGGAACCACCUUCAUUAAAGUAGGAGCAUCUCGGGGACAGAGCUAGAAAUAGGAAAAUCAAGAUCCGAACAACAAGGCUAUACCUUCCCCAAUCACCUAAGGUAGGUCCUGCGCCAGCUGCCCGAGCUUCUCUACCGUCUUCUGUGAACCCAUAUGCAAUGGUCCCCGUGCCAGCAAUUAGAACACACCCAUGAAGUUUUCCCAAAGUCCCACAAGCUAGAGCUGCCACAGCAUCAUUCUGAACAUACAACCUUGCAUUGCUGGGGAAUACAUCCCUGUUCAUAUCAAGACAAGAUUAAAGCUUUUAGUACUAAACAUUAAUCUGAGAUUGAUAUGUGCCAAAACCAACAAGGGUCUGAUGAAAGCAAUAAAAAAUAAGCACCCAACAAGUAAAUAACUUUAAAAGUAAAAUAAAUAUUUAAAAAAAACACAUACAGGAACAAUGUGCGAUCAUAGAGACUUGAAAAUAAUACCUAAGCCAAUCUAAUAUCCUCUGCUGAUCAGUGGGAUGGUUGACACCAGAAACCGCCAAACAAACAGCUCGAACCGCCGACCGGUUCGAACCGGACUUAGCCAGCGCUUCAGCCAUCACCUGCUCCAAUGUAUCCCUUGCAGCAGCCUCUAAGGUUUAUCAACAAGUUAUUCAAUUAGAUCAGAUACAAAAAUCGAAACAGUUGCGAUCAACUGACGAACCAUGAACAGAAGAACAAUUACCGCCAACGCUGUUGUGGUUGGUGCAACCGGCGACUGCUCGAGCAAGAACGGGAACUGGGUCGGGGAGAGGAUCGGAGAAGGGCAAAAUCGGCAUGCAAAUGCAGACGGUGGAGGUGGUGCCGCCGUCUAAACCCAAGAUGACGUCUCCGGCGCCGGCGGCCACCGGCAUUUGGUUCUCAAAGUCCCAGACUUCGCCAUUCCUGUACCGCUUCAUCUGGGUUUUUGGUGGUGAUUGGAUUGAAUUGGAUUUGAGUGUUUGUUUUGACGAAUCAGAGCUUUAAAAGGCUCCAAUGGAGGCGUGCUCUCUCUGUCAAAGACACAUACGGAUAAUAGGAAGAGAACAAGGAAGAGGGUUGGGGGAGUCAGAUGUUUUUGGGACCGUGUUCAAAAGAAAAUAAUAUUCAUUUCAAAUGGUGGGGUUUUUUUUGUUUUGGUUCUCGGACGGCAAAAUGGGGGGCCAUAAAUAAAUUUAUAACUCAUAUGCUAAUGAUUAUUAUUUCUAAUUGAAGAUGCUUUAUGCAUAACUAGCUACUUGGCACAUGCAUGAUUUUUUUUUUUUUAAUUUAAAAAAAAAAAAUAUGGAUAGUUAUGUUCCAUAAAAAUAGAAUUUAUUAUUUAAUUUUACUUUUAUUUUUAUUUUUUUAAAUAUGAAAAAAUGUGAAUUUACCAUAUUAUUCUAAUUUAAUUAAUAAUUUUAAUUCUUAUUAUUUGAAUUAACCAAGAGCAUUUUUGGUAUUUUGAAUGUUUCACCAUUCUCUGUCUUUUGCUUUAUAUAUAUAGAUUCUGUUCUUUGAUGAUUUGGAAUUUUUUCUCAUAGAUUAUUUUCUUUACUUCUGUCAAAUUCUUUCAAAUAUUUUGUUAAAUUCUUUCAAAUAUGGUUUGGGACAGUUUAGUCGUAUCAUGGGUUGAUUAAAUUAUGGUUGUAUUUCUUUGCUUCCAUUAUCAUUUUGACGUUUUCAAUUUUUUAUUUUAAUGGCAUUCCAAACAUAAUUCACAAUAUCUAUUUAGAACUAAUCCCAUGGAAAGCUAAAAACAACCCUUGCAGCUAAAGCAAGAUGGUGCACUUGAAUUCACAUUUGCAAUCAACUAACCAAUUCAUGUACAUGUUGAACAGAAUUAUGUAUUGUUAAAGGUGUGGUAUGGAUAAGAAAGACUAUGCAAUCCUCCCAAACCAAAGUCCCAAGCUAAAAUACUGAUGACAGUUGCUCUGCUUCCAUUCUAGAAUGCAAGGCGUUGGCAAGUUGGGGAAAUGAGGGUUUUCCAACCAACGAUCAAGGUUCAAGCAGGAGGGCAUCGAUGUUCCGUUUUCCUUCUGGGCCCUUUGUGUACCAUGAUGACACAUAAUCUCCAUAAACAAUUUCCCGGUAGAGGGGAGGAGUUAACGCACUGGUAAGCUCAGAAGCAGGGGAUACUUUCACCGUCUUGGCUGGAUCAUGAAAUGUAGCAACUGAGAGCCGUGCCUGAUUGGAAUUGGUUAAAGCCCUAUGUUGAGCACUCCUGUACUUCCCAUUGGUCAUUAUCUGCAGGCAAGAUAAUCCACUGUUAGAGAAUAAACAUAAUUCACAUGAUUGCUCCACUUGUUCAAUUAAUUUCAUUCUACAAAACAAAUCCUAUGAAAGAAAACGCACUUGGAUCCAAAGAAUGACAAGAAUCCUGUAAAGCACAUGUUGGCGAUCCGAUUAUCAGCUUAGAGAGAAGACAUUGAUAGGUAUAAGCCUCAAGCACUGCAUUUUUUAGUUUCAGAUCGUCUCAGCUCAAGUCCACUAGGUACAAUCCAAAACUGAACCACUUAAAUCAGUACCUUUGAGUAUUGAUCCAAGGCCCCAACAGUGAAAGUCAGUUUCGUAGUGGUUGGAUUAAUUAGAGGUUCCUCUACAUGUCACAGUUAUUUGUGAUCUAAAUUAAAUCCAAUUAUUACGACAAAUCAGAAAGGACAAUGACCAAGCCUCAAUGUGUUCCAUGGGACCCAAACUUAAUAUCCCUAACCAAAUCAUAUAAGAACAAUGAAAAAACAUAGAAAAAUAAGUACAACUGAGGGUUGAUGUCAUGCCAAUGUCUAGAAAUAGUGGUUGUCAAUGACAUCAAACAAUUAGCAGCUUCAUUGAAGACAAAAUAAAGUGCUUAAAAAAAUUAUGGCUUAACCCUUGCACGAAGUGUAAAAGCAGGCCUAUGAUAUACAGUGUGACUCCUUAUAGACUGACAGAUUUUGCAACAUGUGAAAUUUUUAGUAUGUCAUGACCAACAGCAACUAAGAGCACAUAUACCAAGCAGUAGGUCUUAACUUGGUUGGCUACACAUACAGUCAACGUAGAGCCAUAUUAACCUAUGUUUAUUCUCAAACCAUUUGUCCUAAUUGACCAAGAAUGAACAAAAACCAAACCAAAGAAAACAAAAAUAAGGUUACUUGGUCAGCUUGUCCUCAGGUCCCCUCAAACGAAUACUAUAAUAACAGGCUGAAAAUCAAUACGUCAAGCAAAUAUAAAACAAAAACGAUCAGAAGCCUGGCCAAGACCGACAGAUAAGCACAACUACCCAGACAAAAACGUUGAUGUCUCUAGACAUAAUAGAACAUAUUGCUACCAGUACCACUUGAUUCAAUUCAAUAUCAUCGAGAAGCCUAAAAGCUAAAAGAAUACCAUGAAAUACACUCAUCACGAUUCAUCCACUGAGAGUUUCCUGGGAUUCAAGCAUAUUUUUAUCUGGAGAAAAUGUGAUUCGGCAAACUAUAAUUCCAAAGCAUCAUGGUAAUGGACUGAAUAUAUUUAAGAAGGCAUAAGCAUCAACUGACAACGACUCAGCUUCUCUUAUUAAUAAUAAAAUUAAAGAAGGCACAGUACAAGACACUUCUCCAUGCCUAUUUUAUUUCAGAAAAUCCUUCGAAUCUUUUAAUAGACUAAUACAAAGUCAUAACAAAGAAAGUUGAUCAUAGCAAUUUGACACUGUUCAAGAUAAGUUAAACUCACUGCAUUCUAAUUUCUACUGCCCUCCUUUCUUUCUCACCAAUUUAGCUCAUUUCUUUCUAAAAAUGAAAACUGCAAAUUUUUCAUAGUUUGGUCCGCUAAAAGAAGAAUACGAAGGUGUGUGUUUGAUGUUUGAUAGAUGAUGAGGUACCUCGGUUUGGUCAGCUAGAAGAACAACAAUGGCAUCACCACCCAAAGGCUUCACAGGAACCCACUCUCCGUCUUUAAGCACCUCAAGCCCACCCACCUCGUCCUGGACCAACAGCGUAAUCGCACCAAAAUCCGAAUGGGCCUGCAGGCCCAAAGUCAGCUCAGGCUGAGGACACGGUGGGUAAUAGCUGAUCGUAAUGUUCUGCCAAAACUCCCCAACCGCCUCCUCUAAACGCCGCGUUUCAAGCCCCAGGCUCUCGGACGCCAGCCCCAGCAGCUCUCGCGCCAGCGAAGCAAUUUGAUCGCUGUACUCGGAAACCACCUGGCGGUAAUCUGCGGGGAAAUGGGGCCAUCGCGUGGGGUUCCGGCGCCGGAGGGGGAGGGUGUGGUGAUCGAAGUAGUCCCUCCAGUCCAAAACGGUGUCGUCCUUCUCCAGCAUCCGGCUGCCGUAGCCCUCCGACGCCGACGAGCUCGGAUCGCACGCAUACUUGAGUUUGUCUUCGACUGAGCUGUCGUUGAAGAAGGUGAGGCCCGCGCGCUUGAUGGCGUCGACUAUGCUGGCAGGAACGCCGUGGUUGGUGACGUGGAAGGCGCCCCAGUCCCGGCAGGCUUGCCCAAUUGAGGCCCGAACUGAAUCACGUCGGGUCGGGUCGAGGCCGAAAAGGUUGAUGAGCGGAAUGUUGGUUGAAGAAGAAGGUCGAUUGGGUCGGUGCUGGGGAGGUUGAAUGUAUUGUGGCGGGACUUGGUUGAGGCCGGCUUGGGCUAAGCUUUGAACUCUGAUGGGCUCCGCUGAUAUUUCCAUUUCUAUCGAAUUGGAAUGAAUUUACAGAGAAAGAUACAGAGCGAUGUGAUGAUGAAGACGAUGAUACCGAUUUUAUAGUCCGGAGUUAUUCAAGCAUAUAAAAAACUGUGCUUUUUGUUAUUUCUUUCCCGGCAGAAAAUAAAUACGUUCAGUAAAGAAGCGCUGUAUUUACUGAUUAAUUAAAGUGAUUGGCAAAAUUUAUUUGGGUUACAAAAUUGAGCAACAUACGCUACGUCAGGAGAAAACUUACACAGCGAUGCUAAGUCAUUUCAAGCCUAUCAUGUAUUGUCAGUGUCGGUAGGGGCAAUCAAUGCGACGAUGGCCAAAUUUUAUUAUUUAUUUUUAAUAAAGAGUUAUAUUAUAUUAAUUAUAUAUUUUUUUAAUAUUUUAAAUAAAUUUUGAAAAAAAACAAGAAGCAAAAUGGGUGUUCUAACUCUUUUAAGCUCUAAUUGAUUGUAAAUUUGAAAAUUUUAAGCUUCUUGUUGUGGAGGGGGAUUUGAUUUCUCAAAUUCCAAGUUAUGUUGUUCUUUGUUUAUUAUUUGAAGUAUUAAAAUUUCAUUGGAUUUCUUUGUAAUGUUUCUAAUUUCAAGUAGCAAUGAUUCCUAAAAACAACAAUCUUGAAGUCAAAAAAGAAAAAGAAAUGAUUGAAUUGUUACAAGUAUUUAUCUUGUUUAUGCAUUAUAUUUGAAUGUCUCAAGCGUAUCCUCUUAUUUUAGAUUUUUAUAUAUUGAAAUUUCAGUUUAUAUAAUUUAUUUGACUUGAAUGUUAAAUUUUUAGUUAAAUUCAAAUAAGUUAAAUCUUGAUUGAAAACUGAGAGUGAGUCUAGCACUUCAAGAGAAAAAAAAAUUAUAUAUAGCUUAAGGGUCUACUUUUUUACAUUUGCCUUAGGUCCUGAAAAAUUCAAGACCAGCUAUGUGUAUUGUUAUGUCGAAAAGUUAAAACACAUAACAAUAGGCGAUUGGCUCGAAAUAGUGCCAUAAUGCUAUCCUGAUAUUGGUAAAAUUUUCUCACAUAUGAGAACUGUAAAGACCCAAACCUAAAAUUCACAUGUAAUUAGUAAUUUAUUAUGCGGAAAGACAAUUUUGCCCUUUGACUCACUUAUGAACUCAACGUUGACUUUUUGACCAAAAAGGAAUAUGACAAUUUCACAUACACCGUUGCGUAGAGCACGAUGACACGAGUUCAUAGACACGAAGUAAGCUCGAAUUGGAGUUUAACGAAGAAAAUACGAUUACAAUAUCACGAGGGGCAAAAUGGUAAAUUGGAAAAUCAGAUUUUAUAAAAUCUUUUCUCUCUCUCUCUUCCCCAUCAGUUUCUCUCUCCUCUCUCUCUCUCUCCCGCGCGCGACGUCCGUCGCCUCCUCCCUUCCCGUCACCACACCAGCCACCACAGGGCACGCCGAUCUCCGGCGUUGGUACCAGCAGCUUCGUCUCGCCGCCGCCGUCACGCCACGACCUGCCUCCACCCCUGCACCGGCUGGAGCUCGCCGGAAACUGGAGGAGAACCGCCGGUUUUAGGCAAAACUUCAUCUCCUUCGUUCUCUCUCAAUUCUCAACCAAAUCGUUCGAGUAAGGUAUGGAUUCUCACCUAUUUUUCAUGCUCUAGCUGAUGGUUGGAUAGGUUUUGAUCGAUUUCAGCCGUAGAUCACUCGAUUUUUGAAUUGAAAUUCGGCCGACUUUCGGCCUCCGUGUUCGGCCACUUCCGAUCAGUUUUUGGGGUAGGUCCAAGAAUAAAAGUGACUCCAAAUGGGGUGUUUUACCUAGGAUAGGAGUUUUGAGUCCUAGUUCCGCGAUUUUUCGACCACCCGAAAUUGCUUAAGACACCCAAAUCUUCCCGCGCGUGCUGGGGCGCGUGGGCGAGGGUGGUGAAGUAAUUUUGUACAGUUUUGUGACCCUUGUGUCGUCACGAGCGCGUAGGAUUUCGCGGAUCUCGAUUCGGAGUUCGUUUGAGCCCCGAACGGAUUUUUCAUAUCGCGCGAUCCUUGGGUGCAGUGUCGUCAAAUUGUUGGAUCACACUGAAUUUUGGAUAUGUCGGUCUACAUGAUUUCAGGAUCGUGUAGGAGUCGACGGAUUGCGAAUCGGAGUCCCGGAUACUCCGAAAUCGCGAACCCUAGGGCUAGGGUUUAGAAACUAUGCGAUUACACGGUCGUGAUUAAUCCGACCGUCCGAUUGACACCAAUACCCUCGGGACAUGUGUCCUAAAUAUAUUAGACCUUCUAGCGGCAUCCGGAUCAUAUUGUACCCGUGGGGUUCCAGAUUGACUUUUUGGACUUUAGCGCUUUUGAGUCCCAAGAUACCGCUAAACGAUCCCACGUGGAAGGAAAGCUGUUAUGGGCAUAGGGAUCACUUUAAAUUGACGCACGUACUUUUAGGAGCGGGGAUAGGGUUUUUAAUUUAAUACUAUAUUGUAUUAAUAGAAUAUUAUGGUCAUUGAAUCAGGCACCCGGGCACCAGUUGACCCGCAGGAGGGACCUUCAAGAGGUCCAGCGAGUUUGGACUAUCAGUGAGUGGACUCUUUGUUUUCAUAAAGGAAUUUAAGCAGUUCAAUUUCAGUUAUUAGCUGUUUUAUUCUGUUAAAUAUUUUAUGUUGCAUGCUGCCGAGUGACAUUUCUGUUAAAGACUAUAGAAACAGAUAUUCUUGUUCAUUAUCAGAUAAAUGGCAGCAAAAUUUUAAAGGUUACAGAAAGUUAAUUAUUCAACAGAUUUCCUUCAGAAACUUUAUAUUUUCUUAAAUCACCUUGUACCCAGUUAUUAAAUGUUGCCUUCGAUUUAUAGUGGUUGCCUUCGUUUAGUCAGCAUGCUUGACAGUUGCCCCACGAGUUCCUUGGUACUCGAACUCGUGUGGAGCGAGUAAUGCGGAUAAAGGUGGACUACGGUCCCCUGAAUCCUGCGAGUUGCGGCUCAGACUGACUUCGUGUCACUGAGACCUGCGAGUAUGUGUCACCCAUGGUGAUGCAAGGAAUUGACGGAUAUAAGGAAUUGACGGAAAUAAGGGUACACCAAGGUGAUAGUUUAAACUGUUUUCAAAUGUAUAGUUAUAUACAUGCAUUGAUUUCAGAAAUAAAGAAAAUAAGUUAGUUUGUAUAACUGUUUUUACAGUGGGGUUAGUAUGUUCAUAUAUUAUUUUCGAAGCUUUGUUUUGGGUCCACUCACCCUUCUUGUUGUUUUGCGCCCCCAGGCAGUAGACGUGCACAUGAAUCCAUCACCGGGCCACUUCCCAUCUUCCGUGCCUUUCUUUGAUGUAGGAUUUGUAUUUUGUACAACGAUUCACUCUUUUGUAAAUUCUUAGCAGUCGCUCUGAUGUUUUGCCCUAGAUUGAGUUUGAUCUCUUGGAAUGUAUAUAUACAUAUGCUGGCAGUUGGUUGUAUAUAUGUAUACUUGUUUGGCAUGUGUGAAUGUUUUGGUAUUGAGCCAGUUACAAGGGAAACUCUGCCGGUUUUUCGGUAGAAGUCAACCUUGUUAUUUUAUCGUGUUUUGUAUAGAAGGGCAAAUAGGUCUUUUGUGCCCGACAUUUGCCAAAUGUCGGACACGCACAGGGUCUGACUCGGAUUCCAAAGCGGAAUUUGGAUCGGUCCUGUCAAGAACUCAUAAUAACAUAAAGAACAAAAAAAAAAAAAAAACAUGCUUUUUGUACAAGAAUUGUAGUUGGUCUUCUUUGGUUUAUCAUUUGGACUUGGACACUCGUUUUUAUGUCAAAAAAAGGAAAAAGAUCCGGGUGAAGUAAUGUUAUGCAAGUAUGGAAUGCAGGGCUCAACUUUGGUGCCAAAAUUGACCUUAAAAAUUGACCAACAGUAAAAGACCAGGCCCCCACAGUAAAAUUUGAUGAUAAUACAGUGGGCUUGAACAAUCUGUGUAUCUGGGUUUGGUUUGACUGAGCACCUUAUCCCAAAUUCAUAUUCCCCUCUCUCAAUUCCUCUGUGAGAAAGACACAGCCUUUGAUUUGUACUUGAAAUUUUUUUUCCUCACAAAACCCACAAUGCCACCACCAGCCACUCUCUCAGCUUCAUCUUCCUUCACUCUCCUCUCUCCAUCUCCCUCCCCAAAACCAAAGUUCCCUUCUUUCUUCCCCAAAAGACACUCCUUCGCAAUCAACCCACGUCACCAUUCCCUCCACUCAGUUCCCUCCUCCACCGUCCGAUGCGCCGUCAUCGAGAAAGAAACCCCGGAGGCCCAGCGGCCCGACACCUUCCUCCGCGCCAACUCCUCGUCGUCCUCCGUGCGGGCCCGCUUCGAGAAGAUGAUAAGAGAAGCCCAAGACACCGUCUGCGCCGCCAUUGAGGCCGCGGACGGCGGUGCCACCUUUAAAGAGGACGUGUGGUCGAGGCCCGGUGGCGGUGGAGGCAUCAGCAGGGUCCUCCAAGACGGCGCCGUUUGGGAGAAGGCCGGUGUCAAUGUCUCUGUUGUCUACGGCGUUAUGCCUCCCGAGGCAUACCGAGCUGCCAAGGGUGCCGCCGCAGCUGAUCACAAGCCGGGCCCGGUUCCUUUCUUCGCCUCCGGAAUUAGCUCGGUAAUUUCGUGAGUUCUGCUCGUUUUGUGAAAAAAGAAAGAAGAAAAUGUUGGGUUUUUAUUUUGUUUGUAUAAUAUAUGGGCCUGCGGUUUGGUUGUGAUUGUUUUCAGGUUUUGCAUCCAAAGAACCCUUUUGCACCUACUUUGCAUUUCAAUUAUCGGUAUUUCGAAACGGAUGCUCCGCAAGGUAUGAAUGUGAUCAUUUCUCAUAUCUUUAAUGUGGAUUGCACAUUGCUUAGUUAGGUUGCGUUUGUAGGUAGGUAGGUAGGCAGGCAUGAACCCAGCUUUGGUGGUAUUACUAAUGAAGUAGAUGAUCUCUAAAUGAGUUCAGCAUUUUAUGUCAUGCUUGUGUUGAAUAAUGCAAAACCAAGGAUAUCAAAGAUUGGGAAAGGUAAAGGUUAAAUUUGGAUAUAAAUGUGUACGUGUUAUUAUGAUGAAAACUGUUAAACCCAGAAAACAUAAUUUGACGGGCACUAGAUUAUGCUCACAUGCUAGAAAUGAUAUGUUGAGAUUCUGAUUACUUCCCUUUAUGGGUUGAUUAACAAUCAGUAAUAAUGAUAGUUGCAAUGCUGAUAAUAAUACUAGCAGUUGUGAUAGUAGAAACAAUAAUAAGAUUGACUAUAGGGAUAAGAUAUUUCUUCUCGUCAGUUUCUGGAAAGUGUUCAGUCAGUGAUGUGGUAGAGAAGAUGAGGCAGAUAUCAUAUCACUAAUAAGUUUCUUUUUCCCUUGUCCCAUGCUUGAAAGUUUGCAUUUCCUUAUAUCACUCGUGUAUAAAUAAUUUAUGAAUAAGAAAGCUCUUUGGACCCUGAUUCGUCACAUUUAUGCAGAUGUUCCUGGAGCACCUAGGCAAUGGUGGUUCGGUGGCGGAACUGACUUGACACCUGCUUAUAUUUUUGAGGAGGAUGUUAAGCAUUUUCAUCAAGUAUGUAAAACAAAACAGACAACAUCCCUUAUGGUGUUUUGUGAUUAAAGUCCCACUUCUUUUGAAAAAUUCGGUGGCUUUAACUAACUGUAUAGUGGUGUUGGCCUUCUUCUGUAGGUCCAGAAAAGUGCUUGCGACAAAUUUGAUCCUACCUUCUAUCCUCGGUUCAAGAAAUGGUGUGAUGAUUAUUUCUAUAUUAAGGUAUAUUUCUUACUAAACCCUUUUAAUUGUUAUGUGUUAUAAAUUUGUAAUAUGGUGUUGAUGGUACAUAUAUCAUUUCUGUAUGCAGCAUCGAGAUGAGAGGCGAGGGCUUGGAGGAAUAUUUUUUGAUGAUCUAAAUGACUAUGAUCAGGAGAUGCUUCUUUCCUUUGCCACUGGUAUUGCUUGGAAAUAUAGAUUCUUUUUUCUUUUCUUUUUUUUCGGUUGUAUUUUCCAUUAAUUAUUUCCUACUAGUUGAGUGACUGCAUCCACUUCCUGCAUGCACUUCCGUUGAGUUGAAGAAUGUGCAAAUUCUGUGGUCCCUGCUUACAUACCAAUUAUAGAGAAAAGGAAGGAUCUACCAUUUACAGAUCAGCAAAAGGCAUGGCAGCAAUUGCGAAGAGGGCGCUAUGUUGAAUUCAAUUUGGUAUGAAGAGCCCUGAAGAUGUUAGUGAAAUUCAUAUCAGCAAUUAAUAUGCAAAUGAGGCCUAAUUUCCGUUUUCUUUUAAACAAAAGGUUUAUGAUCGUGGAACAACUUUUGGACUAAAGACGGGAGGUCGAAUUGAGAGUAUUCUUGUCUCUCUUCCACUGACUGCUCGGUGGGAAUAUGACCAUGUAAGCUUACUGGUUUUCUCUGUACGAUACUUUAUUUCUGGUACUACUGAAAAAUGGAGCGCCUUGAAGUUUUGAACUCAUAAUUGAGAGCAAUCUUAUUGUUUGCUGUGCAGAAACCAGAAGAGGGAAGUGAAGAAUGGAAACUGUUAGAUGCUUGCAUCAACCCAAAGGAGUGGGUAUAAUGUUCUAAAUGUAUGUUUGUAUCAUUUUGAGAUUUUUACUUCUUUUUCCCCACUCCUCGUCUUUCUUCUAUCAUCUUCCCUUCAAUUUUUUUCUUCAAUAGUUGAGGCUAGAAGUUAGCAGUCGAUAUCUUGUUGAAAAGUAAUCCAAUACAUGUUGAAGGUGAUGUGAGUUGUGAAUCAUGUUAGAAUUGUCAUCUUUUGUAAGACUGGAAACUCUUCUUGCCCAGUGAAUCUGUAGUCGAUUAAGAUUUCCCAACUUCUUCAUAUCCUGUAAUAUAAUCUAAUACAUGCACCGGGUGAUUUCGUUUUUUCCCCUGCACGGAAACAAGCUUGGAAAUGAGUACGAGAUUCUUCUCAUGUUUGGUUAGAGCACAAUGUAUCCUACAGGGGAAAAUCCACAUGAACAUGAGAAGGGUGGGUUUUCCGUUUUCAUGGGUUUUAAAACCCAUAUACAUUUCUUUGAUCAAAGAAACAAAAACCCAUAUACAUUUCCAAAAGGAGAUGGGUUUUCAUUCUCAUUUCUAGUCCUAGUUUUAGCAGCUUUGAAAUAAAAUGGUAAUGGCAAUAAAACCUUUAUAUUUUUACUUAAUUUGAAUUGAAUCAUCCAAGGGAGGCUUUAAUUUCCAAUUGUCUGGUGAAGCAUCGCAUGGUUAAUCAAAAAGUUGCUUAAUGAAAGAUCUUGCAAAUCAAGUGAUGUAAAAAUACGGGCAUAAAUGAAUGAAUUAAUUAGAAAGAUCUUGCACAGAUACUUACAUUAUAACCUAAACUAGAAAACUUCAAAUAUGUAUUAUAUGGACAUAGAAUUUUUCAUGGAGCGUAGGCCCCUCUAGUUAGAUGUGGUAUGAUGAAUGAUAUGCAAACUCCAAGUCGCAAGAGACUUGUAACUCAAGUAGUUAAAGCGAACAUAUACAAAGCGAAGGUAUUGACUCCAUAAUGGUGGUAUGACUCAGAUAUGUUUGUACCACUUCCAGUUAUGGGUGAAACUAAACUCUCUACGUACAAAAUGAUUAAUCAUGUCGAUACUCAUGUACAGAAAAGUCAUCAUACAGCAAACAACCAUCCUUGUAGUGAAGAAGGUAAUAGCAGUUGUCACAGAAGUAGCAGGGGUUCUCCUGAGCCCACUUGUCAUCUAUAGUCACCUGUGUUGCUCUAAAUAUUUUACAAACAUAACAUUUUCGUAUAUGUGGCUUCAGUUGAAAUAAGAGUAUCGGAUAGGCUGCCCUGUUUUGUACAUCCUGUGGAUGAAUCAAUCUCAUGUCUCUAAUUACAAUUGUAUGUCUGCAGUCUCCCUGUUUCAAAUCAUUUCCCCAAAUCGACAUCAACAACCGUCAACAGAGAUGCAUAAAAAGUUUAUCAAGAUUCUCACAUACAGAAAAAUACGUUGUAAAGCACAAAAUAAUGUUUCCCUUACAGAAAGGCAUGAAAAGAUGGCAAUAGAGAUCUGUACCUGGUGACAAUAUAGAUAUCCAGCACCAAGUCGAAAUUUCAAGUCACAAAACUGCGUCUUGUGCAUGUCAACGGCUCUGAAAUGAGGCAACUGUGAGCCCGUAACAUCACCUACAACUGCUUUUUGCUUCGUUUGCAAUCCUCCAGCUGCAAUCCAUUCCCAUUUUUUAAGAGCUUCGUCUUUAGAAUUUCUAAGCCAAUCAAAUAUAGGUUCACUAUAAUCUACUGCUGAGGGAUCCCUCAAAUCGUUGCACAAUGUAUCCUACAUAGGAUCAGCAAUAUGCUAGAUUUCAGUGCAAAUUCCGUCCUCAUCAUGAAAAUAAACAAUAAAUGGAUAGAUUUCUUACUUCUAUAAGGAAAUAUCCUGAAGGGUCAUGCUGCUUAGCCUUUUGCAUCACAUGGUCCGCUAAGCAGUAGAUCUUAUCCCUCAGUUCGGUCAAGGUUUGUUGUCCAAGGACCAAGAACUCUUGGUUCUGCAAACAAUCUUACUUCGUCAAUAACGGCAGGAACUUGAGGAAAGAAUUAUGUGAGUAAUGAAAAAGAGUGCUACAUAAAUAAGACAUGAAUGACUUGAAAUUGCUUUUAAUUCAUCUUUUCCCAGACUCAUAGAGGCAAAGAAAUCCUGUAACAGAAGGAAGGAAACCUAACUACUUUUUUCUGGUCUAUCUUUUCCCUAAACAAUACUAAAGAAGAAGAUGAACAUUCUCAGAGAACACAAGUCUGAUGAAGAAAAUAUAAAUCACAAGUCUAUUGGAUGAAAUUUUUGGUCUUGCUCCACUCGCAAUGGACUACCAAUUUAUUGGAGGUGACUCAGCCACAAGGGACCUAAAACCCUACCUGUAAGAACCUAGCUAACUCAAACCAACUCCAGAUUAAAAUGGAGAGACACAUCCAGUUGUUCUUUAGGCUUAACUCUGAGAACUUCCCAGUAUAGAGUUACACAUACCAUGACUUUCUUUCAUAUUUGUACAAAGAUUAAUAUCCCAAUCCACAGAGAAGCUCCCACUCAGGAAUGAAAGCAUCCUCAGCCAGCUAGGUUCGAGCAUGGAUAUCUUUGUUUCUGGAGCUUGUGGUCAAUGUUUGUAUCCUAUGAAGCGUGUGCUUUUUAAAAAUGAAGAAUUGCACUUGCACACAUCUCAAUUAUAGAGACAUAUCAGAUAUUUUAACCCUACAAAUCAGAAGCCCACGAAAAAUGCUAGCAUGAUACCUUGACUAGUAGGAACCAUAUAAUUGGCAAACAAACACCAAAACCAAAAGCUACUCUAUUUGACAUAAGCAAGAAGAUGCUAUACCUUCACCCAUUUUCGCGCAUUAUGGUAAACCUCAAUGGAAAGAGCAACUUCUGGAUAGUGCACAGGUACGUAGCCCUGAAUGUUGGAUGACUUUACCUGUUUGCAUAAGAGGGGGAAAAAAAGCAUAGAUAUUAUCAACCAUCUGAGAAGUCAGAGCCAGCAAAUUGAACAUGACUGCAUGAAAACAUUCACAAUAGGCAACUCUUAAGCAAACCUUCACUGCUGAACUUGCAGAUCUGAGGGGUUUCAUCCUAUCAAUUGUCCUUGAGGAUGUAAUGGCACAAUCAUUGACCUUCGAACUAGGGCUGAAUCACCAUAAGAAAAACAAUAAGUUGAAGAUGUGAGAAAAUUCAUUGAGUGAGUUACAUAGUCAUUCUACUAACUUGAACGAAUGCAGUGUCACAGCAGCUUUGUCUUCAUCUUGCUUCUCUUUGAUUCUUCUAACAUGCUCCACCUUUGCAAUAUAAGUUUCCUGGAAUGUGGCAGCAAUUAAGUUGUGAACAUGAUAACAAAGAUAUGACUUGAACAUAAGCAAGGACAAUGAAAAAUGUAAUGCAACGACAAGAAUCCUAGAUUGCAGGACCCUUACUAGGCAUGCAGUUGGGAAACUUUUUGGGAGCUUCAAAAAGUCUCUGCUCAGCGCACCUGGGGUCCUUGAAAAAUUUGCUAACUUUCUCAGUUUACCCUCAUUCUCUUAAAAAAUUCCCUUAGGUGGUACAUUAGCCUUUAAACUAGAUAGGUCUUCUCAUUCAAAUUUUACUAUUUCUUGCACCCACCCAAUUUUCAACAGUGUGAUGCCUAGGCUUUCAAAAUGAAGGAAGAUACAGACUUAAUAUAACGAGGUACUAUACCAAGUACCAACAAUUCAGAUAAAUACAUUAGCAGACACGGAGAAGGCAAUAUCUCACCUCUAGAUCAUGAUUCUUUGCCUUCGUUCGUUUUCUCUUCCUUGAUUUCUUUUUACAGGCUUCGUCAUUUGAUGCCUCGUGAUCCUUUGAUCUACUGAAUUAGGCGUAUAAAAAUCAAAUAAUGGAUAAAAAACAAUUUGGAAAUACAUAGCAGAUAGAGAAUACUCGUCAAAGUAGAAAAGAAGACUAUAAUAAGACAUAUGAAAGAUUCAGUUAAAUUUGUUCGCUUAUGUAUAAAUAUGACUCACCCUUCAUCGGAAGGCUCUUCUGGAAUAGGCGAAAGAUUGGGGGAAUCUUCAUUGUCCUACAAUCAAACCCAUGAUAAAGCCGUAACUUGUUAGCACAAGCACAGCUGUAUUAUUUAUCAGAGCUUCUUCAAAUCACAAAAAAACCCUAUGUAUAAGUAUGAGUGUACCUUAAAUGCUUCCUUGAUAGCCAUAUCCACCAACUCUUCCUCAGUCAAGAUUUUGAGCUCAUCCACCCUGCACAACAAACAAUACCACUGUGAACCAAAACCUACCAGCUAAAAUUCAAGAUGCAAAACCCAAGACAAAGGAAAGUAAAAAUGCUUACGAAAUAUCUUCGUCUAAGACUUGGGAUGAACUUGAAGAUACUUCAAAUUCUAAAUCCUGCAAAAUAAGCCCGGCACAACUUUAAACUUAUGAAUCAAUCAAAAAUUAGCAAAGCAAUAACAGAACUAUCAAGAACUCAUCAACCAAGAGUACCUGAAGUUCUUGAACAAUAGAAGACUGGAACAAAGGGACACUGGUGAGGGAGCCCACCAGAUUGGGAACGAAGAUGGGCCCACCUCUGGGAACUGAGAGUUCUUCCUCUUCCUUAUCACAACCAUUGUUGUUGUUAUUGGUGUGUUCUUCGUCUUCAACACUGCAACUGUCACCGUCAUUCUCUGCCAUAAUCUAUCUUCUUGUGUAAAGUUUUGAACUUUAAUUACACCAACAAAAUGCAUAAACUAUAUAUCUUCUCAAUAUUCAACGAAAUUAAAGAAACCCAAUUGGGAAAGCAGCAUACGAAGUGAAGGGAACAGUUGGUUUCAUUUACAACAAAAUUUGAAAAAAAAAAAUAGUAUAAAUACCUGUGAGGUGAAGCCUAGGGUUUCUGAGAGAAAGAGAGAGAGAGAGUUGAAGACAAAAGUGUCUCUCUUUGCGUCUCCCGGUUAACCCCCCAAACAAACAGUUUGUUUUUACAGUGAAUAGGCCUGGGCACGGUUUGGGUCGGGUCAAAUUUUGACUGACCCGUGGGCCAAACCGACCAAGACUGCGGUUCUCGGGUUGGAUCGGGUCAAAAAUGAAACCCGAAGUUGGGCCAACCCGAACAUACAAGGUUCGGUUCUGGUUUUUUGGUCGGUUCUGGGUUGAGCCCAAAAUCAAUUUUUUUUUUUCUUUCUAAAAGCCCAAUAUUGUUGAAUUUUUCAAAAGCCCAAUAUUGUUUUUUUUUUUUUAACAAUAUCAGUUUUUCAAGCAGCCCAUCAAUUAAAGGUUUUCCUUGCCCAAAUUAUGUAAAUUCAACUAUAACCUGUUUUUUUUUUUUAAAGUAUCUAAACUAUCAAAUUAAAUUUCACAAUCAUCAUAAAACUACGAAAUUAAAUUUUACAACCCAUGACCAAAAAAAAAAAAAAAAAAGUAAAGCACCAAAUAUAUUCACUUGUAUCAGUUAAGGGAGCUGCAAACAAAACAUGUUUUGCAGCUCCCAUGGCUUCUCCAUCAUCAUUGUUCCAAUUCGACAAAGUGUCAAACCUGCAUCCUGAUCAAAUAUCACAACUAUAGAAUAUCAGAGCAGGAAAUGAUUAGUUCUGCACAAAAUGACAGAAUCUAAACCUUUGAAAAACAAAUAUAGACCAGUCAUUCAAUCAAUAAAUAAUUAUUCAAUAAAAAAAACUAAUUAACCCAAAUAUUAGCAUUCAUUCAUCAAUAAGAUACUAACACAAACAUGCUACAUAAGGAAAAAAGGGAGAAAACAAAUAAAAGAAUGAAUGCAUUUAAUCAACAACAAGUUAAGUAGAUUCAUGCCAAAAAUACAGAUUCAAGACAACUCAAUUAAAUAAAUUGAAACAGAUUCAAGGCUACCAAUCGAACCUAAAAUACACAGAUAAAAAAAUCAGAAAUUAAAUCUGAAAACAAUGAAGAAAGCAUCCAAACAUAAACAAAACUAAAUUCCAUGUAUGUCUACGUCUAGGAAAAUGUAGUAAUAGAGUGCAGAAGGGCAAAGCUAAGCCUGAAUUUCAUCUUUCAAAUUGAUGAAAACCAUAUUGCCAAUUUAUUCAUAAAUUUUAUUCAUAAUCGAAAUCAAUUAUAUUAAUACGAUACCUCAGUGCAAAGACACAAUUCGGGGCAAUUCGGACCACUGUGAUCAUGUUACAAAGAACAAAUUAGAUAAUUCACAACACUGAGUACAGAAAAAUUGAACAGAGUAUACAAUGAAAUCAUUGACAUGAAAAUGUCAUAGUAUAAGAGUGCUUACCAGAAAGCUGCAACGCAACAAUCUGCAGAACAAACAGAACACAGGAAGAUUAAAAUUGAAGGUCAGAUCAUAUUCACAUAAAGAAAGAAAAUACCAAAAAUCCAUACAUCUAAAGUAAAGCCAUAUGGAGCUGAUGAUUUAAAAAUAUAUAAUUCUAAUUCUCCCAUUCCUUUUAAGCCACACACAGAGAUUGAGACAGAAAUAUUUAUACCUUCAAUUUUGCCUAUUAAUCCAAACCCACAGAGACUAAGCACAACAACUGCAAAAUUAAGAAAAAAUUGCAUUAAUUUCAACAGAAUACCAAAAUUUCGAAACCCUAAUAAUCUACUAAAUUAGGGAAAAUGAAAACAACUAAGAAUCCAAACUAAAUACAUACAAAUUACCUUAGAAUGAACCAGAGCCCUCCAAAAUUUACAAGGAUUCGCUCCAAAAACCAAUGAUAUUGGAUUGAUGUUUGGUUAGGUUUGGAGAAAGAGAAUGAGUCUCGCGUCUCUAAGAGACUUAAAGAUGUGACUAAGAGAGAGAGAGAGAGAGAGAGAGAGCGAGCGCGAUAGAGACGAGUUGAGAGAGAGACAGAGAGACAGAGAGGGCGCGCGAUAGAGAUGGCGGCCGAUGAGGUAGGGUUAGUCUCAGAUCGGGAGAGAAAUAGUGUAGGGUUUCGUGAGUGAGUGAGAGAUAGAUACAGAGUGAGUCUGAGAGGGUUAGUGAAAAAAUAAUAAAUUAAAAUUUGAGAGAGGUUCUGAUAUAGUGCAAGCAGACCCACCCAAAGUUCUUAUUUAAGCCAAUGAGACAACGCCAUGUGUCAAAUGCAUAUAUAAUUAAAUAAUGGUCGGUUCGGUUCAGGUCCAACGGUUCAAAAAAUUUUAGACCCGAAGCCUGAACCAAAGUCAACGGUUCGGUUCAGGUCCAGCGUUGACUUUUUCGGUUUGGUCAAAAAAACCUUAUUUUUCGGUUUGGUUUGGUUUGGUUCGGUCGGUUUGAUCAGUUUAUCAGUUUUUAUGCCCACCCCUAGUAAAUAUGUUGCAGAACGCGGCAAAUGUAUGCCUGGUACUUUCUAGGGAGUUUAAGCAGUUCGCAAUGUGGGCCCCACUCUCAACAGAAGAAGAGAAAGGUAAAGAAGGUUUUUAUUUAUUUAUAUUUAUUAUUUUUUUAAUUAAUUUUUUUAUAAGGCUAAAUUACUCUUUUUAAAAAAAAUUUAAAAUAAAAAGAAAAGAAAAGCAUGCCGCAUACUUUAUUUUUAUUUUUUUGUCUUUCGUGAGGUAAGGGGACGGAUGAGUAUUAUAUGGGAUUGCCUCAAGAUUGUCUCCAGUUUGAAUCAACUUUGAAAUUAAUUUUUCACAUAAACUUCUUAAAAAAUAUAUAUAAGAUGUUUCAUAUUCUUGCCAUCUGAAAACUUAAGGCAUUCCAUAGAUUACAACUUGAAUAGUACAUAUCAUCUGCUGUUUUUUAAUUUUCUAAUUGGAUCUCACAAACUUCUUGAGAUAUAGCAUCCUUCAAUGGGUUCUUCUCUUUCUCUUUGUUCUCUCCCCAGAGAGUUGUAGACAAACCAACAAUAAUCAAGGAAGCUCCUAAAAUACUGAAAAUGUUCACAAAUAAUAAAAUAUAUUUUAAAUUGAUAGCAACCCAGAAUUCCAAGUAAGUGAAUAAAAUAAAAAUAAAAAUUUCAUACCUUCCCAAGUAUAUAGCUUCUCUUAAAACGAAUAGCCCCAUUAUAGCUGCAACAAUUGUGGAUAGUGGUCUAAAUGCUGUCAUGAAAACUGGGCCUCUUGUUUUUACAACUAAUGUUUGCACAUAAAUGGUGAUUCCAAAAAUCAAAACUCCCUGCAAAAAUUUCACCUCAUCAAACUUCCAUGAGCAGAGAAUCUUUACCAUUUGACAGUUGAAGACCUCUUCAGAUUCUUACACUGUACAAAGGAGCAAGAAGUGUACUGUCCCAUGACAGCUUCCAAGAGGAUGCUUCAUGAUCUAGAAUUGCUGCCAUGAUCGCCGUGAGUAGAGUCCCCGAUAAGCACGUUAUCGAUGUAAGAGUAAUAGGUGCAGGAUACAUUUCGAUUGUUAUUGUCUGCAUCAAUCAAAUGUAUGAGUAUUGUAAGUAACUGCCAUGCUAACGGAAAGUUGUUCCUGUGACACUUUGUUUUUGGUUGUAGUGGUAGAAUAUGUGUGAAGCACCUGUAAGAUGUAGAAUGCUGAUGAGGAAAUAUAUGAAACAAGAAGAAAAAGGGAGCCCUUUAUCCAGUCUCUGUCUACGGAUGAUUUGGAAGUAGCAGAUUGAUGGGAGGCUUGAGUGUGCAUUGAAAUCACAGCAAUUCCCUUGUAUAGCGUCAUCAGUGCUGCACCGGCAAAGGAGAUAAGAGUUCCCCCAAUCUUGGCUUGGGUACCAAGCUUUGUAAUGUCAAAUUUUUCCAUCCUGAGUACAUAUCAUAGUGUAAAUCCUUAAAUCAGAAUGCAAUAAUGCUGUGAGUUCCUUUUUAUUUUCAGUGCAAAGGUAUGCUCAAAUGCAAUGGUGAUUGGACAUAUUGACCAAAUAUAUUUCAUACCUGCACACAACUGCUAUGAUAAAGGUAAUACAUGGAAUAAGGUUGCUCAUAGCAGCUGCAAUAGCUGGUGAAGUGUAUUCCAGUCCCAUGUAAUUCAAUGUUCUUCCCAACACUCCUCUGAAUUACACAGGAAGAUGCAGAAAAUUAAUAUCAAUUUUCAUUUGUCUGAUAAUUGUCCAACAUUAGUUGGGGAUGACUUGUUAAGAGGUUAACAAUUUACUCACCCCAGCAGGCCCAAGAAGAAGACAUUUCGAAUUAUCGGAACACUGAUUUUGCUCUCAUUUUUCCUGCACGAGAUAGGUUAUGGUUAAUCAGACGACAGAGGAUACUGUUCAUAUUGGAGGGGGUGCCAUAUUUUUAUGCAGGCUAUGGAUGAAAUCAAAUGGAAGUAAUUAGAAGAGUUGUGUUGCAAACUUCUAACAAGGCAACAAAUAAAGAAAGAGCUUUGGACUUUAGAAUCUUAGGACCAUGAGUUAUAAGAAGAAUGAAAACUAAUAGACCUCUCAAAAAGAAGUGCAAGAAGAGCAGUUGCUAGCGUUCCAAAAGCAUGGCCAUAAACCACAAGCACAUAACAGCUCAUGCCUUUGUCUAAAGAGACCUUAAUGACAACAGGGAACCCAGCAAAGCAGAUGUUAGCAAAUAUACAAAGAAUGUAAGGUUUUGACACCUCCCUCUUACUGCUUCCUCCUUUCGCCCUGUCGUCCUGCUCUUCCGUUUGCAUUUCCAUUUUCAUUUAGCAUGUUGUUUUCACCAUGACCCCAUUUUAUACCAAUUUGGGGGAAUUUAAGGAAGAAAAUUAUCUGCUACAGAUAAUUCUGUGUUUCCAGAACUCCUAAGAAGUUUUAUCAAGUUACAACUUUCUACCAAUUAAUCUACUUAAUUUAUUUUUGUGGUCAGCAUCAGCAUCAGUCUUAAUCUCACUUACAUACUCAACAUCAUACAUGACUUUCUCUUUGUCCUUCUGAUUGAUUUCAACACUCACCAAUCUUUCAUUUCCACAUACAACAUCAUUUGAUUAUUGUGACUUUUCCAAACAUUUUGUAGUGUGACUUUUCCAAACAUUUUGUAGAAGAAACGAAAACCCGCGAUUGGAGGAUGGUUCUAAUAUUCUUUACUUAUAUGAAGGGACACUUGAAAAUUUGUAGAGAUUAACCAUUCAAGUUCAAACAUUGCACCAAUAAUUUUCCCUUACCAGAACUAAAUUGAUUUUGAUAAUUGGGAUCACAUUUCUUAUAGAAGAAAAGAACAUCAAUUAUUGAAGAUUGGUUCAGAUAUAUCACAACAUAAAGGAACAGUAUCCAUUUGGGGGAUAUUUCUGUGUUCCUGAUAUAUCACUACUUACUUUCUUCUUCUUUGUUUUUUUUUCUUUUAAGAAGAGGAAAGUGCUUUGUGACACCUCAAGAACUAUUAUAAGAAGUGACUCAAUUAUGAGUUGGGUCUUACCAUAAGUUCCUCCUUAUGCGUUGUAGUUUUUAAUGUGCCCAAGCAGUGUUUUAUCAAGUUACAACUUUCUACUAAUCAACCUUUUAUUUGAUCUAAGCAGCUUGCUCAGAUAUGGCAUUGGCAAUGCUCAAAAUAGCUUCUUCUCCCUUUCUGGUUUGCCUUUCGCCCACGAAAUGUGUACGAGCAGUUAUCUAUGUAACUCACACGAUACUGAGAAUGUUCAAGAGUUGAAAGUGUAGGAUACCACAAUUCAAGAAUAUGCUCCUUCGCUGAGCAAUAGAUACAUGACUUAGAAUGCAUGCCCAACCAAAUAUGAAGAAGCUUGUAGGCUUAAAAGACUGUAUGUCUGUCUGUCAUUCAGGUUGAAUGAAUAUGAAUUACAGAGCAUGCUCUUUUUCUUUUGUUAGUUGGUUCCCCAAUAAAAAACAAUCCAAUAGUGCCAACAGGGCCUAGCCAAGUAUAAAAGAGUCUUAACUUGCAGGCUAAAAAUUUCAUGUUUGAAACCCAUAACAUCUUGAUUGAGCGUAUGAAAAAUCAUCUCCCUUAUAGUUUACUAUCAUUUGUGCUUUAAAAAAAACAAACAAACAAACAAUCCAGAGAAAUAUACAUAUUUUUUUAUGAUAGAGAAUUUGUUUUUUUUUCAUAGAACAUGUAUAGUGGGAGAAAAUUUCACAGUUCAAUCAACUCACCAACAAGCUAUUCUCUUUCCAAUAAUAAGUACCCAAAUGAGUGUUGUUAAACCCUUUUUCUAAAACCCUGCAAAUUAAAAUAAAUAAAUAAAUAACUUAAAAUAAAAUAAAAAUAAAAAACUCCAAAUCAAAAGCAGCCUCCUUCACUCCCCCUCUCUCCAUUUUUCUGAUUCCUGAUCGAAGCAAAGCAGUGAACAUGAGUGCCUAUCUCUCUCUUCGCCACCGCUCUUUCACUUACCUCAAUCGCCACCUCACAUCCUCACCCUUCUCCACCACCACCUCCAAACUCCCCACCCUUUACGAACCAGCUGCCGCCGCCACCCAAAACGACGACGUCCCCACCACAACCCUCCAACUCCUCUCAUGGGGCAGAGGCGCCUCGGGCCAACUCGGCGGAGGAAUCGAAGAACUUCGUCUCUACCCAACCCCUGUCGCCAACCUCGUCGUUCCCGCCUCAUCCUUCACCCUUUCACCAACCCAAGGCCGAAUUCAAAUACCCAAUUGCUCAGAAACAAAGAACAAUGCCCAUGGCAGUGUUGUAGAGGUGGGUAUUUCUUGUGGGCUUUUCCACUCGUCGCUGUUGGUGGAUGAAAAGCUCUGGAUUUGGGGUAAAGGCGAUGGCGGUCGACUUGGGUUUGGACAUGAGAAUUCUCUGUUUCUGCCCACUUUGAACCCGCAUUUGGAUUCGGUUCGCUUCGUAGCGCUUGGUGGAUUGCAUUCUGUUGCGCUCACCUCCCUCGGCCAGGUCUAUACUUGGUCAGUACAAUAGUAAAGACUAGGCAUUUCUUGCAUUUCAUCACAUGUUGAGUCGCAUUACAUUUUGUUGAUUGCAAUAGUUGGGUUCUCUUGUUUUGGUUUUUUUAUCUGCACAAACAUUUAUGCUUUUUUCUUCUUGGAAGAAGAAUAGCAAUAUGGUUGCAAUGAGCAGAUUCCGUCCAUAGCUUGUAAAGUUUGUAUCAAGGGUAAUAGUUUCUAGUCUCGACUAUGUGCAAUUCAAGGUGGUGUUUGAGGAAGAACUGGCCCAAUUACAUUUGCUUGUCAUGUGUUGAAAGACCGAUUUGCUAUUUUAACUCUCCAACCCACAUCAAUUUUACCACAGUCCGCUUCUUCUAUCCAUUUGAUAUAAUUAUUGUUUUCAUGUCCACUGCAAAUCUUUUAUGUUCAUUGACCAUAUUGCUCUAUUGAUUCAUGCUUUUGGUUGGAUAACUUCAUGGUUGUCGUUAAACAUGAAGCUUGCAGGGGUUAUGGUGGUUUUGGUGCACUUGGACAUUCUGUUUAUACUAGAGAAUUGUUCCCUAGAUUGGUGGAAGGCUCAUGGAGUGGGAAAAUACAUCAUAUUUCAACUAGUGGGACACAUACUGCUGCAAUCACGAAAUCAGGUUUGUUACUGGGAUCUUUCAUUGGAGUAAAGUGGUACUGUCUGGGUGCAACAAAUUAAUGGACUCUAACCAAGAGGAUAGGAAUAACUUAAACUAGUAGUGGAAGUAUGUUGCAGAUGACAUGCUUUUUCGGUUUCUUACUCCUUUCUGGCUUUAAGCAUUUAUUGUUGUUUCCGGGAUGAAGAUUUAUGUUUACGUGUUUGAUUUGUCAUUAGAUAUCUGGGUAUUACUCAUUGGAUGUAGCAUGUAGGAGAACUUUAUACUUGGGGUCGAGAUGAAGGGGAUGGUAGAUUGGGACUUGGUCCUAAUCGGGGCCCAAAUGAGGGUGGUGGACUAAGCAUACCCUCCAAAGUAAAAGCAUUACCUGUGCCUGCGGCUGCUGUUUCUUGUGGAGGGUUUUUCACAAUGGUACUGACAGAAGAUGGGGAACUUUGGAAUUGGGGAGGUAAGGUUGUCACAUCUCAUGUGGAAAACUUGUUAUAAAAGAGUUAUUUAUAAACCACCACCACCCCUCCCCCCCCCCCCCAAAAAAAAAAACAACAACAACAAAAAGCAUGGAUUGACCUAAUAUACUGUAACAACAUAAUUCCAAUGCCAAAUAAGUGUUAUUAAAUUAUUGUAAGAAAUGGUGUUAUAGUUUUCAAAUGUUCUCCCAGAUAUUUGCUUCAUUAGUCAAUGAGCUUGUGCAAAUGAAUUUCAAUUUGCAGAUUUGACAAAUGGAGAUUGUCAUAAGGGGGUGGUAUUUAGUUUAUUUUAGAGAUCAUAAAGUCAUUGGUACUUCUAUAAUGAGUAGCAUUCUUGUUACUCUUCAGUAAGGGGUUAUCUAAUUGGCUCUUGAUGUUAUUGUCAUCUUUGACUUUGACUGACUUCUAAUUGCUCCACUUUUGUGAAGCUAAUUAUCGUGUUUUCUUGGUGUUUACUCAGCAAACUCUAACUAUGAGCUUGGAAGAGGCAAUAAGGUUGGUGGUUGGCAACCAAAACCAGUUCCUAGUCUUGUAGGUGUCCGUAUCAUUCAGAUAGAAAGUGGUGGAUAUCAUUCUCUUGCGUUAACUGGUAAUGUGACAGCCGUGUCUCAUGAUUGCAGCAACAGCACUUGCUGUCUUUAUUUCUUGAAAGGUUAAGUCUUAUGUAUGGCCUUUCUUUCUUGAUGUUUAAUUUUUUUAGAUGAAGGUAAAGUGCUUUCAUGGGGACAUGGUGGGCAUGGUCAGUUGGGCAACUCUUCUAUCCAAAGUCAGAAAACACCUACAGUUGUUGAGGCUUUAACUGACGAGCGUGUCAUCUAUAUUGCUUGUGGAGGUUCAUCUUCAGCAGCUAUAACAGGUCAGAUGAUUCUUGUGUUCUCAGAUACUGUAAUCUAUUAGGUCUUAAAAAUAUUUUGUUACGUCGCUCAAAUGUGUAAAUGCUGUGCAGCCUCUAAUUACAUUCCACCAGGGUGUCUCUUUACAGUGAGUAAUGUGCUCCUGUAGUUGACACACAUGUUGAUUUUUUCUUUAACGAUUUAUUCAUCCAAUAGAAGAUUUGUAUUCGGCCAUGCCUUUUCAUUUGGUUUGCUAUGCGUUGGUAGUGUUGGGGAUUGAAACUGAGACCAAAAGAAAGGAUUAAUUUAGAAUAUUCUGGAAACAACUGAAGACUUAAAGGACAUCGGAUUAAGAGCAUCGAUAAUUCUUGGUUGCAUAAUUCAAGAACAUGGUUAGGCUGAUGUUCGGACCUGGUUCAAACUAGCUUACUUCAUAUUUUCAUGCAUUUCCGAUUUGAAAUUGAAUGCCCCCGCCUUUUGUUCCGUAACAGAUAAAGGAAAGUUGUAUAUGUGGGGAAACACCAAAGAUUCUCAAUUAGGAGUUCCUGGGCUUCCAGAGAUACAACCAUCCCCUGUUGAAGUCAAGUUCUUAAUGGAGGAUGAUGGAUUGGGACCCCACAAUGUGCUGUCUGUUGCAGUUGGUGCUUCUCAUGCCAUGUGCUUGGUUUCAAGGUCUGACUGUUUCAGUGUGAUAAUUAUUAUGAUUUUCUUUUUUCUUUUUUCUAACGUAUAAAUUCUGUAACAGGGAUGGAAUGUCCAACUGAGCUGAAAUGGAGGAGAAAAUGGAUGGAUAGCUAUGAUUCAGAGGUUAAACUGAUUCAAGAUGAUAAAUAUUAUUCAAGUGAGAAAGAGUAGACUUCUAGCCAGGAGAGAGUGAGAGACGAACAAAUGCUAUACAGGAGAUCAAAUGUGAGCACAUUUGAGCGCCAGAAGUUGCUGCCCCUACUCCGUCUGGCAUUAGUACCGCAACAAUUUGUGCAAAACUCUAUGAAACCUCACUUCGAAAUGCAACGGCUCAACGCCGUUCUGCAAGGAUAUGCUGACAAUUGACAGAACUCAGUUAUUGUAAACACAUGAGAGAUUUCCAGGUUCUUUAAAUUAUUGGCAGAGAUGUAGUGCCCCAUAUUCUCUCCGAGUUACUAGAAUGCCUCAGGCUGGGAAUUUGGCCCAACUCUUUACUUCGUUUUUGUACUACUUUUGACUGGGGCUGUUCAGAUACUAACUGCAGUUCAGAUGAAUAAUCUGUUCCAAAUCAAAAUAAACUUUGUUUUGUGUUCUCAUGAUUUCUUUACCUACUUGUGGGUUUUUGGAAGUGUUUUUUUCCUUCCCUUUUUGUGAUAUAUUUUUUGGGUAAAACCUGCAUACGGGUUGUAUCUGUGAUUAGCUUGGUACCUUCACCAUCAAAAAUGGACCCUACGGUUUCUAAACAUCAUGGUACAUUCACUUGGCUUGCCUUCACAGCUAUCAUCUGCUGAUGUGAAUGAGCCUUCACUUGUCGCUGUAUAAUGGAAACCCUAUGGUUUUGUAGCUUUCAUGACACAGUUGCUCAUCAUGUUCCUUGGCUCCGUCUUUCUUGUGGCCCCUAGAGCAAUUGAGCACAAGCAUUAACUUGUAGGAUUUCACUAAGAUUAACCGCCCACGUCCGCGGGUGAUCUAAUGUGAGUCUCUUAAUAAUCAAUGAUUAGAAAUCAUUUACACAUAUAGGCGACUGAUCUUAGCAUACUCUUAACCUAAAUAUAUUGAUGAUACGAAAUCAAAAGAAAGACCGUUGUCCUCGUCCACUCGUGACUAUUGGCUCUAGGUGGUGGCUUGGCUCUUGGGUAAACUUCAUUUUUUGCUCAUAAGAUGAAACGGGUUUUGGUUGUCUUUGAUCCCCACAGUCAAAGGAGACAGUGUGCACAAUGUGGACCACCAAGCUGCAUGCUGCGAUCGUUUGGUGCGUGACAAACUUCAAUCAUUUCACUAUGUUUUGGCUACAUCUUAUUCACACCUCUCACGACAAACAUUUACGAACGGGGCUUUGGCCCCAUUAAUAUUUGCCUCGGGCUAUGGCCCCAUUAAUAUUUGCCCCUUCCUUGCAUGAUUCCAAAUCUCAACGGAACGGAAGGGAAAUCACUACAGACACCCUCUUGAUUUGUCAGGUGUUUUUAUCACAGCAAUCGUGUAUGUACAUGACAUCUAGUAAAUAAUUUGUGUAAGUAGACGUAGGUGAGUUGGUCAGGUAGUAAAUCUGCUUUUUUACGCUCAAGUUUGAGUUUUAUUUUUACUAGCCUCUCUGCACGCGCUUCUGCGCAUGCGAGAGGUUUUUUUUAAAAAAAAUUUAAAUUUAUUUUAGAAUUAAAAAAGAUAAUGGAUAUUUGUGUUCCAUAAAAAUAUGAUCCAUUAUCUGAAUUUUCUUUUAAUUUUAAUUUUUUUAAUACGAAAAAUUGUGAAUUUACCAUAUUAUCCUCAUUUAAUUAAUAAUUUCAAUUCUUAAUAUUUGCAUUAACCAAGGGUAUUUUCUGGUAUUUUGAAUGUUUCACCAUUCUCUGCCUUUUGCUUUAUAUAUAUAGAUAAAUUAGAUUAAUUUAAACUAUCAUUUGCAUAUAAAUAAAAUAAAAAAAGAUAAUUUGUGUAAUCUCAUAUCUUUCGCUCAACACAUAGCACAUCGCAUUAUAAAAAUCAGAGGAAUGCUAUAAGACAGUGUGCGUCAAGCAUUAGAUUUAUGUGGAUUCAAAUUAUGGAUCUCAUUACUAUCGACAUUUGAGAGUUCACUUAGGCAAAUACAUUCACGCAUGCAACUCUCUCUAUUAUAACUUUGAAAACAAAAGAAGAAAAAAAAUAAAAAAUUCAAAUUGUAUCGUGUUACAAUUGAUGGUAAUGAGUUGAUUAUAUGAUCAGCUAAUCAUAUAUAAUUAAAAAUAUAUAUAUAGAAACAAAAAUAUACAACAAGAAAUGUAAAUUUUCUUUUACUAUUAACACGUAUGUCUGUCAUGGGACACUUCCCUUACAGGUUUACGCAAACAAAUAUGAACACAAAUCAAAACAAACGUUCAAAAUAAAACCCUAUAUGGAAAAUAAAAACUAAUAAUGUUAUGUAGGACAAGCUUCCCUAAUAUACGCUUAAUCAUGUUAAUUGCCGAUCAAUCACCAAUGUGUAUCAAGUGAUUGAUCCUAGCCGUAAGUGAACACCGAACACUGCGACGCCGGCCUCGACAGCUCCGUUCCCGCACUGGCCGGGCACGCCUCCAUCCCCACCUGGGGCACCAUGCAGUUGUAACUCAAGCACAACGACACCGUAUCGGGCAACAUCGACCCCGGCUCAACAUGGAACCCGGAUAAGUAAUUGUGCUGUAAAUACAAUGUUCUGGUGGUGCCCACGUACACGCUCUUAACGUACUCCCUCGGUACGUUCCCAAUCAGACGGUUGUUAUUCAAAAACAAGCUCUCCACCCCCGCCAGGAUCGGCGACAGCUCACCCGUUAUGGAGUUGUGGCUCAAAUCCACGAUCGAGCCCUCGCCGUAGGAUGGGGGCUGGGACUCCACGGGCGGGACCCACCCGGAGAGAUUGUUCCGUUGCAACAGCAGCGACUGGAGUGUGGUACGGAACAGAGUUUGAGGGAGGGGUCCACUGAGACGGUUCAUGCCGAGAUCGAGGUGGACUACAUCGGCGAGCGAGUCGAAGAGGGAGCCGAUGGGACCCGACAUUUCGUUUUCCGAGAACGACAAGUAACGGAGCGUCGUCGGGAGAGAGGGCGGUAAGGGACCGGUGAGCUUGUUGCGUUUUAAGUCCAGGUGAAGGAGUUGAGACAACACGUCGUGCGGCAGCUCGCCGGAGAGGGAGUUGGAGGCGAGGAUGAGGACUUUCAGAGCCGGUAAACGGGUCAGACCCGAGGGGAUUGACCCGGUGAGCCGGUUGUAGCUGAGGUCGAGGGUGUGGAGGUUGGAGAGGAGAGAGAUGGUCUGGGGAAUCGGACCGGUGAGGCGGUUGUUGGUUAACGAGAUGACUCGGAGGUUGGCGAGUCGGCCGAGUUGGAACGGGAUUGGACCUGUGACGAUUCCGGGGAAGAGGAUGAGCUGAGUCAACUCGGUGAGGUCGGCGAGGGAGGGAGGGAGCGACCCGGCGAGGCCGGGCGAGUCGGAGAGGCCAGUGCCGAGAGUGAGGGUGGUGACUCGGCCGGAGGUGCAGGUGACGCCGGAGAAGGUGGAGCAGGGAUCUGGUGCGGCGAAGUCCCAGGUGGAGAAGAAUGCUGUGGCACCUCGGAAGGGGACAUCGGUGAGGGAGUUCUUGAUGGCGGUGAGGGCGUGGAGAUCGACGGUGCUGAUUUUCUGGUUUUGUUGUUGAUGCGACGGUGGAGUGAGAUUGAGAAGGAGGAGGAGGAGAAGAAGAAGUGGAAGUGGGAGUGAGGAGUGUGCAUGUUGUUUGGCCGCCAUGACCAAAAAACCACGAGAGAGAGAGAGGAAGUCAAAAUUGGUGCGGUUUCAUGUAAACCGUAAGAAUGGGGUAUGAAGUGAUGAUGGAUGUAACCGUUGCCUUGCGUAAUGGCGUUAUGGCCCAACCCAUUUAUUUGAGUCACCUUUCUUGGACUUAUUAUAAGAGCGCUAGUUACUUCAUUUACUCGCUACAAUAAUUACCACUGACUACAUCUUUCACACCUGUAGAACCUUACUUGCACACAGUGUGGAUGAAUCUCACUCCAUUGCUUGAGACAGUCGUACCUCUCAAUUGUUAAUGCAUGUGCGGUUCGAAUUUCAUCAACGAUUGAAAAUCACUUACUCGUAUGUGUGAUUAUUUUCAAGCGAAAUCAAUGUGUAUAAUUUGAGUGUUUUACCCCUCGAAUUAAACUGAGAAUAGUGGUCCUCUGAGUUGGGCAACUUUUGAGGUGCAUAAAAUAUGUCCUCUAGGAUCACUCUUCGCCACUUUUGGUGGUUAGGACUUAGGGGUUGGUUAAUUGGUUGGACAACUUAGACUAAAAGUACUACUACUUAAGUGUUAGGCUUGGCUUUGCUGUCAACCUUUUUUUAGCAUUAUUACUUAAAAAAUUAAGAAACGUUUUUGCAAUUAAGAGAUUGAUGGAAUCAUAGUAAUGAAAAGCAGAGAAAGUUCACCCACCAUGACCAUUGACCAUGCUCUGUUCUCUUGUAAAUUCAGGUUUGAAUCUUUGCUGCCUGCACCAUUUUGUUCUUUUAGAGCAUGCAGAGCAGAUGGAUCUAAAAGAAAAAGACCCACUUGGGCCACUUCAUGCUUCAAAGAGCAAACUCUUUUCUUCCCAUUUCCCAACCAAUAUACAUAAAAAUGUAAGUUAAUUAGUGAUUAGAGCUAGCAAAACCAAGCACUUAGCACUAAUCCACACACCUGGUAGACUUGUUUACUGACAGUUAGUGAAUGACCUAAACUUAAUGCAGACAAAAAGUUGAUGAAAAAAAAAAAAAAAACAAGAAGAAGAAAAAGACCAGAGUCUAGCUGCUACACCGAUCACUGCUUCCCAACUUAGCUAUUAGUUAAUGGGAUGUCUUUAGAUGCACAUGGGGAGAGGUGUGGGCAAACAUCAAUAUUCACCCCAACAGUGGUCAAACUAUGCACGUACAAUAUUCUAAUUUUACCCAUAAAAUACAUUAGCAUAUAUAUAACACAUUGUUUAUUGCCAUUAAAUUAGGCACCAUGAUGCAUAUAUAGAGAUCCAUAGACAGCUCAGAUGGAAACUUCGUGACGCCACUGCGGGAAAGAUUCUCCCACUCCUCACUAAUUUAAUUUAUAUUGGGCAUUUUGUAGAUGUAGGUUAGGCUGAGUUAGAUCAGUUGGUAAUGGCAGUGAAUCCGUUCUCUUGCACUUAAGUUUGAAUCAAUGUCUUUGUAAAUUAGAUUAAUUUAGAAUAAAUUAUCGCUUGUAUCAAAAGUUCAUAUUGGGCAUUUAAGUGAGUACCAUGAGACAAGUAUUACCAAAAUAGAGUCAUUCUAUAAUGAGGGCUUUAUAUAUGGCCCUUAGAUGAGAUUCUAUCUUUAAUUGUUGAAUUAAAUUAAUUAAUUUUAUUCAACAAUUAAGAGAUAAGACAUCACGUAAAAGUUAUAUACAAGGCCCUCACUAUAGAAUUCUUGGACCAAAAAGAAAGAAAAAAGAAAGUUUUGAAGGAAGUUGAGCUUAGGCAGCUUUACGUGGGUGUGUAUAUAAAAGUUGACGACCCACCAAUGGAUUAUGGAUGGUCCACUGCUUUAGAGAAAAUGUUUUGGUGGAUCUUUCUCAAGCAGUGUGGGUAGGUCCAGUGCAAUUUUGUAAAAGGCUGCAAAAUGAGCAUGCCGCAUGUCCAAUAUAAUGAAGGAAUGAAUUGGAACUCAAGGAAUAUCUAGCUACCAUCACUACUAAGUUAGGAUUUUAAGUUGGUUUUUUAAGGCUACUUUUUGGGGUAAAAGAGCUCGAGACAAAGCUUGCAUGUUAUGCUAUGGGUUUUUUUUGUUUUUUUUAUUUAUUUUUUAUACGAAUGAUAUUGGGAAGGGAGGAAUCUAAUCUAGGACCAUAAGUGCAAAGGGGUAAAAUGUGAAGCCAGAAAAUUUGAGAUGUUAAGGUGGGUUGGGCCUCCAAAUGGCUCGGGUCCUACGUGCGUGGGAAUAUAUAUUGGGCUUUAUUUUCUUGAAGUCUACCAACAUAACCCUAAACAAAUUUAGGAAAAUAUAUGCAUGCAUGGUUUUAUCCUUCUCAAAACCGUUCAUAAAAAUUUACAAAUGCAGUAGAGGAUCGAGGAAUUCAAACCAUAAAUGCAGUUCCCUAUGGAGAGCUGAAAAUGCAGGGGUGAUCUUUGGUUCCAGGAAUAAAUAGUGAAACCAUUCUUCAACGAAAUGCUCACAGAGCUUCUAAACCAAUGAUUAUCCCCUCUUUCCCUAAUAACCAACAUAAGACAUCUAAACCAAAUGAAGAAAUGCUUUUACUAUCUAAACUAUCAACUCUCACUCACAUCACAUACCGAUGCUCAAAUGAAUUAUUACCACAAAGCCUUUCCCUAGCAUUGGUCAGUAGUAACACAAGCACAUUAAUCAUUUCCCUCUCUUUUCAACUUCUGACAUGUCAAAAAGAGAACAUUUCGUAAACAUACGCAGCCCGCACGCAAGCACACAGUCCUACACUACAUAUAUAUGUCCAUGAUUUUCUCAUAUUAGAAUCCUCUGAGAUGAGUGCCAGACUUUGUGCUAGGACCACCAACACAGUGCUAGCUGACCUCCCUCUUCCCUCGUCAUAUCAUCCUUGUAAUCCUGUUUAAGCAUCGAUUGAGCCGCUUGGUUGUUCGCACCAAUCACUGCAGCCUUCCAGCCAGCAUAGUUUCCACUAGGGUCACUCAAGUAAAGUUGAAAACCGAAAUUCUUGUCCCCAACCCGCAAACAAAAAUGAAACACCAAAGGGCCGGAGACCACCAAACUGUGUGUAGCCCUGCUUAGUAUCACAAAGAGAUUGAACAAGCUGCUCAACGGGCAUUGGUUCUUGGUACGCAAACAUAUAGCGCUGAGCCUGGACCCUAGAAGUGUUUAUCAGGAUGUUGGCAUCAGACAUUAUGCCAGCCACAGCACAAGCAACAUGAUCAUAAAUCUUGUGUUGGAUAUUUAUUCAUUAUUGUUAUUUGAUUUAUUUAGUUAAUUUGCUUCUGCUAAUAAUCCCUAUUUACCAGGAAACAUGGUUAGUGUUUGACCUGAUCUUUAGGAGAAUCCCAAUAGUCUAGGGUUGUUAGACGUGAGAUAUUUUGUUGCUUAAUUUUCUGAUUACUUGUUCCCUGUACGACUAUUUAUGCCAGUCUUUGGAGUCAAUGAAUGAUAGAACAUUCACUCAGACUUUCGCACUCUUUAGCUUUCAAAGUUCUAGUUCUUAACAUCUUGUACAUUUUCUCAGUGGAAGUUGUGGAGUGGAGGAGUUUGGAUGUGACUUUCUUCUCACCAACUAAGAUAACCCCAUCUUUUGACAAAAUCCCAAUUGCAGUACCCGCAUUUCCAAUGGCCUCCAUUGCAUACUCAACUUGGUAGAGACGACCCUCAGGGGAAAAGAUGGUUGUACGGCUAUCAUAUCUCCUAGACAUCUUUGAUAAUAACUGUGAACGUUUGUGAAAUAAUGGUAUUAAAUUUUAUCAUUUUUUUCUUCUGAGAUAAUGGUAUUCAAUUUAUAUAAGAUGAAACAAGGGAAACCCAGAAAUCCAAAUAUGAACACAGUUAAAAAUUCCAACAGCUCAAGGUUUUCUACAAUCCAACAAAGCCAAAUAGCAUCAAUUGGGUAGCAUACAUAUGUGAAAUACUGAAAAAUCACAAAUCAGAUGCAAUAAACAUUAAAAUUAAUAAUAAUCACAAGACGCAAAUUAAAAAUGAACUUGGUCGAAAUUGAGACAAUGUAAGCAGCCCCAUCGCACAAACUAAUUGAAAUGACAAUCAUACAAGAAUACGGGCCUUACCCAGUUUCGCUUGCUCUCUCUUGGUUCAGAUGCUUGACAAAGUUUACGCCUUUUGCCGCCUACUCAGCUCUCAGCUCCCUAUUCUAGUAUUCUUCUUCUUCCUCCCCAAGAAAUAACCAAGGCUUUGUUUGCUCUGGCAUCCGGGGCUCCGAGUAGGGGCCUUUGUAGAAAUUGGGUCAAAACUCUGAGGCCGAAAGUAUCGGCCUUUUUUUACACGGGUAGCCCAAACAUUGUUGCUUGCGCAGGUAACCCAAUAAUAUUCAAUUGUCUAGGCUCAACUAUUUCAGUGGACCGGAGUGUUUUUUAGGUCGAAAGUGGACCGGAGUUAAGUCCAGAUAUUUGAGGUAAAUCUUUUAGGGCUCGUUUGGUACGUCGGACUGUACUGACUAAUUUUCGUCGGAUAGUAUUAAUUUAUUUCGGAGAGUACUGACUAUUUAUCCAUAAUAUUAUAAGGCGUUUGGUGCUGUUCCGGAUAAAUAAUUUGACUAAGUUAUACUGUGUUUGGUGAUGUUUCAGAUAACAUCAUAUCAGACUAUUUAUAAAUAAAAAAAAUAUAAAAUUUUUUUUGAUAAUUUUAAUGGAAAUUGAGAUUCAAAUGACACAAAUUUUUUUUGGUAAGAUUCAUAUGACAAUAUUUGUUUUUCAAUUGUUUUUGCCAAGAUUUUUUUUCAUAUAACCCAUUAUCAUAAUUGUAGUAUCUCAUAAAAAUUCCAACAUACUCGCAUACGUUAAUAAAAACAGUAUCAAAUAAUGUAUAAUUCAAAGUGAUCACAUAUUAAGGUAAUAAGAGCAAAAGAGAAAGUUGUUCAUAAACCAAACUACAUCAAAGAGUGAAUCACAACUCCCUCGCCUCAAGUAAGAGAAAAACAAAUGCUUUUCUCAUAGCACCAUCCACUGUCAGGAAUAUUUUUUUUAUCAUUUGCUUUCUCCAAAAUUAGCCGUAGUGCCUUAAUUUGGUCAUUAAUAGACAAGUCCAUCUUUGCUUUUCUAAUAACAAUUGACAAAGAAAAAAAAAUGGUUCUUAGAAUUCAGUUUCAUACAUUUUUAAUUUUAUAAUUUUGCUCUUCUAGUCGUCAGGUAUGUAUGUAUUCAACUAAACUACCAAUACUAGCACAGUUGUUUGUUUUUGGAUGAAAACUGGCAAUACUCUGUUUAAUACCAACAAUCUAAAUAUUCCCACAACGUCGAAUCACUAUAUCACAUACAAAAAAAACAUUCGAUUAAAAAAAGUACCAAAAAAAAAAAAUUCAUAACCUAAUUUCUACUAAAAAUUUGAAAUAUAUAAAGCAUAUUGGAGAGAGUAUGAAAAAAGAGAGAAAGUGAGUGAUGGAUACCUGGAGAAGAGUGAAGAAAAUAACAUGUGGAGAAGAUAGUAGAGAACAACCCUAGGGAGAAGAAGAUGAAAAGAGCAUCUGAUUUUUUUUGUAGAACUCGUGUUCUUUUUCCCUAGCCUUAUAAUUAAGCGUGUAUUAUCUAAACCGGGGUGUGUGGGUUGUAUUAGUUAGUUAGGUAAGGAGAGUAUUAAAAGCCCAACCCGUAUAAAAUAGUCGGGUAAUUAAAUAAUACAAGUUGACACCAAACACCUGACAUAGACUAUUUACUCAUAUCCAGAGUCUAAUACGAUGUACCAAACGAGCCCUUAGCUGUUAUAAAAUAAUCUGGAAUACGUGCGAAUAUUGAGCUGCACGUAAAGUAGAUGAGACACAGUAUUUAGCGAGGUUCGGCUAUGCCUACAUCCCCGGAGAGCAGCAGUAGUAACUUUUCCACUAUGUAAAAUAAUAGGGCUACAACUUUAGAGUUUACAAUAUGUGAGGCUCACUGAAUUUUCUCUCUGCUCACUCACCCUAUUUCUUCCUUCUCUUCCUCCUUUCUCUUUCUUCUCUCUUUCCUUCUUUCCUUUUCUUCUCUCUUUCCUCCUUUCCUUUUCUUCUCCCCGUUUCCUAUCUCUUUCUCUCUUCUUCUUUUCCUCUUCUCUUUCUCUCUUCUUCUUUCUCUAUUUAUAGACAUGUUAAAUGGCACCCGUGUUUCUACAAUACACAUCCGUGAGUGUGCAGCCAAAUACUUUGCUUAAUUUUCUUUGUGGGCCCCAUAAAUGUGGGCUCCACAUGUUUCUUCUUUACAACAUUAGCAAUUUCUUUUGGAGAAAAAAGAGAGGGAAAGCCAAGGAAAGAGAAAUUUUUAAAGAAGUCAAAUGGACAAAUGCCUUGUGAUAUAUAGGUUAAAUUGUAGCUAUGGUUUCUGAAAUAUAGUCCGAGUUGUAUUUUCAUCUUUCAACUUCAAAAAUAGGUGUUUUCCAAUAGGUCUUGCAUUGCAGCGUUUAUCCUUUACGUCAAGUCUGUCUAAUUUACCUCUCAAAAAGUCAACUAAAUUGAUAAUUGUAUACCUCAAAUUGAUGGAAUUUAACGAAAUGACCAAUUUGACAUAUGUGAGAGAGUUGGAGGAUGAGUAAAACUAAAAAAAUUAGUUGAAUGAUCAAAAUGAAACCGGGUAUGACCAUUCGAUNNNNNNNNNNNNNNNNNNNNNNNNNNNNNNNNNNNNNNNNNNNNNNNNNNNNNNNNNNNNNNNNNNNNNNNNNNNNNNNNNNNNNNNNNNNNNNNNNNNNNNNNNNNNNNNNNNNNNNNNNNNNNNNNNNNNNNNNNNNNNNNNNNNNNNNNNNNNNNNNNNNNNNNNNNNNNNNNNNNNNNNNNNNNNNNNNNNNNNNNNNNNNNNNNNNNNNNNNNNNNNNNNNNNNNNNNNNNNNNNNNNNNNNNNNNNNNNNNNNNNNNNNNNNNNNNNNNNNNNNNNNNNNNNNNNNNNNNNNNNNNNNCAAAAAUCUUGAACUCCUUUUAAGAAACUUUUUUGAACCAUUAGAUUAAUAUCUAACGGUGAGUAAUCACAAUCUCUUGGACUCCUGUGGUCCAAGAGAUCAAGACUAUUAAAAAAAGAUAACACGAGCAGUUAUGUUUCAUAAAAGUAGGAUCUAUUAUUUAUUUUAAUUUUUAAUUUUAAUUUAUUUUAAUAUGAAAAAAUAUAAAUUUACUAUAUUAUUCUCAUUUAAUUAAUAAUUUCAAUUCUCAAUUCUUAAUUAUUAUCCUCAUCGAAGUGUUGCCUUGGCUGCUGCUGAAUUGGUUUAUAUAGCUAAAAUGUUUAAAGACAUUGGCUUCUUUCUAGGCACUCCUCCUCUUCUCUGGGUGGACAAUCAACUGCUAUUUCUUUGGCUUCUAAUCGUGUGUUUCAUACCAGGACUAAACACGUGGAGGUUGAUUAUCACUUCACACGAGAAUUGGUGCAAAAUGAUUAAUCAGCUUCCUGACAUUUUUACAAAGUCUCUAUCUUCCUCUCUUUGUGUAUCUUCCAUCCAAGCUUUCAGUUUGUGACACUACCUUCAGCUUGAAGGGGCUGAUAGAUAUAUCUCCACAUCUAAUUCUAGCCUUUCAUUAUAGAGUUGUUAAUUUCUGUUUAGCUUUAUUUUAAUAAAUUGUAAAGCUGUCAUUAAUGUACAUCUAUAUUAUUACAAGUGUAUAUAAACAAUUCAAUGUAAUCAUUAUUGUUUAAUAAAAUGAGAAUACAAUUUUAGUUUUCUCACAAAAUAUUGAAGGAGAAUUAGAAAGUGGAAAAGUCAAGAAGUAGAGGAUUAGUGUCAGGACUUUUAGGCCUGAGGAAACAGUACUGAAGUUGACAAUGAGUAAGAGAUUCUUUGAUAUUAGCAAAACUAACACGACAAACAUGCCAAAUGUUGGGAUUUUGGGUGACUGAUUUUGAAAUUAAAAUGUUGUAGUGGUGACGUUGUCGAAAAUGUUAGGUGAGAGAAGAACAUAUCAUGUAUUCAUUUUCUAGCCAUCUAUAAAUUGUUUUUUUUAAAUAAAAACAUUAACAACAUUACAUGUAAAACUUGACCCCAAAAAUAAAUAAAUAAUUACAUGUAAAACAAUUGAGUGAUGGGGGCCAUUGCAUUAUUCCCCUUUGGAUUUAUGCAUGCAGGAGGAGCUAGUAGGCUUCGCAUUUAUGGGUAGAAUGGACAUUAUUGGACAACCUUAGGUAUGCAUAUAUAGGAAAACGUCCAAAAUCCAUAAAGUUGGGACGUACGUGGUGGUGCAUGCAUGUUGGUAUUUGAUAUUGAUAUUUUAUUCCCACCCAAAAUAUUACAAACGAAUGCAGUCAAAAAAUAACUCAAAACCAGUGCACACUCGCGUCACGUGCUUCUGCAGACACAAACUAGUAAGCAAUUCACAGAGGACAUAGCCACAGAGGGGGAGCAGAUCGAUGCAAAUUAUUAAGUUUUUCUUUAAGCCAAAAAACUCAGCACCGACAUGACUUAAUAAUUAAGAUUACCACAGUAUAUCGAUCUGAUACACUAUCAGAUAAACAAAAAACAAAACAACAAAUUACAGAAAUUGAUCCCUCAAGAAGUAGAUUUCACUUCCAAGCUUUCACAUGCUAUUAAUUAUUAGCUGACACAUAUUAUGCUAAUCAAUUAAACCACAGUGACCACUAAUUGGGAUAUUUAGAACUGUGCUGUGGUGAUGAUCAACUUCAACUAUGCAGGGCACUGGAAUCCAGAGGGUGGAGUUUUCCCACAGUCAAUCAGAACCUGAAGAGCGAUGGGGAUGAUGAUGUUGAUGUUGAGAAGCUUAGCCUUGAUGGUGGUGCAAAGGCAAAUUGCAGCAUCCAAGUCCACCAGCCCUUGAAGCACUGGACAGCAUGCAUCCUUGGCACUGCUGCCAAUUCCAAUGUGAAUGAGGCCACCCAACACAUCCACACAAGCUCCCAACUUGAGAGUGUCGAUGGGACACGUGUUCUUUGGUGGUGAUGGGGUUGGCACUGGUGUUGGUGGUGGUGGAGGAGGACAUGGUGUCUCAGUGGGUGGAGGAGGCUUAACUGGUACAACUGGGGUAGGUGUAGGUGUUGGUGGGCUUGGUGGUACAACAGGUGGUGAUGGUGGUGGCUUAACUGGUACAACUGGGGUAGGUGUUGGUGUUGGUGGGCUUGGUGGUACAACAGGUGGUGAUGGUGGUGGCUUAACUGGUACAACUGGGGGCUUGGGUACAUAGGGUGGUGGGGGUUGUACAACUGGGGGCUUGGGUACAUAUGGUGGUGGUGGUUGUACAACUGGGGGUUUGGGGAUGAAGGGUGGGUGCACAAUUGGGGGUUUAGGGAUAAAAGGUGGGUGCACGAUUGGGGGCUUGGGGAUGAAGGGUGGGUGCACAAUUGGGGGCUUGGGGAUGAAGGGUGGGUGCACAAUUGGGGGUUUAGGGAUGAAGGGUGGGUGCACAAUUGGGGGUUUAGGGAUGAAGGGUGGGUGCACAAUUGGGGGUUUAGGGAUGAAGGGUGGGUGCACAAUUGGGGGCUUGGGGAUGAAGGGUGGGUGCACAAUUGGGGGCUUGGGGUGGGGUGGUGGUUUGACAAUAGGAGGCUUGGGGAUGAAGGGAGGUCUCACAAUAGGUGGUUUGGGGACAGAAGGAGGUUUUGGUAUAUGGGGAGGAUAUACAAUGGGGGGUUUGGGGCCAUGAGGUGGCUUGGGUACAUGGGGUGGAUGAGGAUGAGGUGGCUUUGAUGGUGGCUUGGGAACAUAGGGAGGCUUUACAUGAGGGGGAUGGGGUGGUUUUGAUGGUGGUUUGGGAACAUAGGGAGGCUUUACAUGAGGAGGAAGAGGUGGUUUUGAUGGUGGUUUGGGAACAGAGGGAGGCUUUACAUGAGGGGGAUGAGGUGGGUGUUUAGGUGGUUUAGGGAUGAAGGGUGGCUUUACAUGAGGAGGCUGUUUGGGUGGCAAGUGUGGAGGGUAUGUUGGUGGUGGACAGUAGGAGUUAGCAAGAGAAGUGAGCAAACUACCCAAAUUCACAAUGAGGACUAAGAGCAAAGCCAGGGUAUAAUUCCCCAUGUUCAAAACUCCACAACCCUCAAAAGAGUUGG
rnacentral:lncRNA from 1 species